GUUGUUGCUGACUACAGAAAGAUUCUUAUAUGGAGGCAUGUAAAAGCAAGGAAAGUGAAACUUCAACUAGACCUUGAGUUCAGUUUACAAUAUGAAGAUCCUGAUAUCAACAUCUGAUCUUAUCAACACCUGAUUUUCAUCUGAGAGUACCAACAUGUUACAAAUGAGAAUUUUCCCCACAAAUUCUUUGGACAACUGCACCACCACCUAUUUCAUUUGAUGACAAUUUUAAGGCAAACAGCAUCCAAAACUGACAAGACAGCAGAUACCCUGGCUAAUGUUUUGAAGGUUUAUGAUGAGCAGGAACUGCAUGAUGUCAGUUCAUGAUGGACUACUGUUAUCAGAGGUCUUUUGGUCUUGCUGCGUGAGCGUGACUGGGGAUUCUUUAGGACCACCCUGAUUAAUAAUCCUGAAGCGCUGACUGAAGAUGCUUUAUUGGCCCUGCAGUCACUGAGGGUCUCUGCUGUCCUGAAGAAUGAAUUGGACACCACCCACAGCACACUUCCAGACCUUUUUUGUCUUGUUUGGAUUAAUGUAUGCUCUUCACAUAGUAUAUAGUAAAGGACUUUGAACUUGUACAUGGCAUGGAUGAUAGAAAAUAGAAAGUCGAUUAGCAUAGAAUCCUUAAAGAAUGAGUUGAUGUAGAGCCUUUUUUUUGUACUCAAUAAAGACUGUCACUGGGGUAGUAACUUCAAAACAUGUAUGUACCUUUAA